rnacentral:rRNA from 1 species
CGGAUGACUUGUGGCUGGGGGUGAAAGGCCAAUCAAACCGGGAGAUAGCUGGUUCUCCCCGAAAGCUAUUUAGGUAGCGCCUCGUGAAUUCAUCUCCGGGGGUAGAGCACUGUUUCGGCAAGGGGGUCAUCCCGACUUACCAACCCGAUGCAAACUGCGAAUACCGGAGAAUGUUAUCACGGGAGACACACGGCGGGUGCUAACGUCCGUCGUGAAGAGGGAAACAACCCAGACCGCCAGCUAAGGUCCCAAAGUCAUGGUUAAGUGGGAAACGAUGUGGGAAGGCCCAGACAGCCAGGAUGUUGGCUUAGAAGCAGCCAUCAUUUAAAGAAAGCGUAAUAGCUCACUGGUCGAGUCGGCCUGCGCGGAAGAUGUAACGGGGCUAAACCAUGCACCGAAGCUGCGGCAGCGACACUAUGUGUUGUUGGGUAGGGGAGCGUUCUGUAAGCCUGUGAAGGUGGCCUGUGAGGGUUGCUGGAGGUAUCAGAAGUGCGAAUGCUGACAUAAGUAACGAUAAAGCGGGUGAAAAGCCCGCUCGCCGGAAGACCAAGGGUUCCUGUCCAACGUUAAUCGGGGCAGGGUGAGUCGACCCCUAAGGCGAGGCCGAAAGGCGUAGUCGAUGGGAAACAGGUUAAUAUUCCUGUACUUGGUGUUACUGCGAAGGGGGGACGGAGAAGGCUAUGUUGGCCGGGCGACGGUUGUCCCGGUUUAAGCGUGUAGGCUGGUUUUCCAGGCAAAUCCGGAAAAUCAAGGCUGAGGCGUGAUGACGAGGCACUACGGUGCUGAAGCGACAAAUGCCCUGCUUCCAGGAAAAGCCUCUAAGCAUCAGGUAACAUCAAAUCGUACCCCAAACCGACACAGGUGGUCAGGUAGAGAAUACCAAGGCGCUUGAGAGAACUCGGGUGAAGGAACUAGGCAAAAUGGUGCCGUAACUUCGGGAGAAGGCACGCUGAUAUGUAGGUGAAGCGACUUGCUCGUGGAGCUGAAAUCAGUCGAAGAUACCAGCUGGCUGCAACUGUUUAUUAAAAACACAGCACUGUGCAAACACGAAAGUGGACGUAUACGGUGUGACGCCUGCCCGGUGCCGGAAGGUUAAUUGAUGGGGUUAGCGGUAACGCGAAGCUCUUGAUCGAAGCCCCGGUAAACGGCGGCCGUAACUAUAACGGUCCUAAGGUAGCGAAAUUCCUUGUCGGGUAAGUUCCGACCUGCACGAAUGGCGUAAUGAUGGCCAGGCUGUCUCCACCCGAGACUCAGUGAAAUUGAACUCGCUGUGAAGAUGCAGUGUACCCGCGGCAAGACGGAAAGACCCCGUGAACCUUUACUAUAGCUUGACACUGAACAUUGAGCCUUGAUGUGUAGGAUAGGUGGGAGGCUUUGAAGUGUGGACGCCAGUCUGCAUGGAGCCGACCUUGAAAUACCACCCUUUAAUGUUUGAUGUUCUAACGUGGGCCCCUUACCGGGGUUGCGGACAGUGUCUGGUGGGUAGUUUGACUGGGGCGGUCUCCUCCUAAAGAGUAACGGAGGAGCACGAAGGUUGGCUAAUCCUGGUCGGACAUCAGGAGGUUAGUGCAAUGGCAUAAGCCAGCUUGACUGCGAGCGUGACGGCGCGAGCAGGUGCGAAAGCAGGUCAUAGUGAUCCGGUGGUUCUGAAUGGAAGGGCCAUCGCUCAACGGAUAAAAGGUACUCCGGGGAUAACAGGCUGAUACCGCCCAAGAGUUCAUAUCGACGGCGGUGUUUGGCACCUCGAUGUCGGCUCAUCACAUCCUGGGGCUGAAGUAGGUCCCAAGGGUAUGGCUGUUCGCCAUUUAAAGUGGUACGCGAGCUGGGUUUAGAACGUCGUGAGACAGUUCGGUCCCUAUCUGCCGUGGGCGCUGGAGAACUGAGGGGGGCUGCUCCUAGUACGAGAGGACCGGAGUGGACGCAUCACUGGUGUUCGGGUUGUCAUGCCAAUGGCACUGCCCGGUAGCUAAAUGCGGAAGAGAUAAGUGCUGAAAGCAUCUAAGCACGAAACUUGCCCCGAGAUGAGUUCUCCCUGACUCCUUGAGAGUCCUGAAGGAACGUUGAAGACGACGACGUUGAUAGGCCGGGUGUGUAAGCGCAGCGAUGCGUUGAGCUAACCGGUACUAAUGAACCGUGAGGCUUAACCUUACAACGCCGAAG